rnacentral:rRNA from 1 species
AUACGGAGGGUGCAAGCGUUGUCCGGAUUUAUUGGGUUUAAAGGGUGCGUAGGCGGCCCGUUAAGUCAGUGGUGAAAGGUAUCAGCUUAACUGAUGAAGUGCCAUUGAAACUGAAGGGCUUGAGUACAGACGAGGUAGGCGGAAUUUAUGGUGUAGCGGUGAAAUGCAUAGAUACCAUAAAGAACACCGAUAGCGAAGGCAGCUUACUAGACUGAGACUGACGCUGAGGCACGAAAGCGUGGGGAGCAAACAGGAUUAGAUACCCCGGUAGUCC